GUUAGGAAUAUUGGACAAUGGGCGCAAGCCUGAUCCAGCCAUGCCGCGUGAGUGAUGAAGGCCUUCGGGUUGUAAAGCUCUUUAGCCGAUGAUUAUAAUGACUGUAGUCGGAAAAUAAGCCCCGGCUAACUUCGUGCCAGCAGCCGCGGUAAUACGAAGGGGGCGAGCGUUAUUCGGAAUCACUGGGCGUAAAGCGUGCGUAGGCGGCUUUGCAAGUUGGGAGUGAAAGCCCAGGGCUCAACCCUGGAAUUGCUCUCAAAACUGCAAGGCUCGAAUUCGGGAGAGGAUAGCGGAAUUGUCAGUGUAGCAGUGAAAUGCGUAGAUAUUGACAGGAACACCAGUGGCGUAAGCGGCUAUCUGGACCGAUAUUGACGCUGAGGCACGAAAGCGUGGGGAUCAAACAGGAUUAGAUAUCCUUGUAGUCC
rnacentral:rRNA from 1 species